rnacentral:rRNA from 1 species
CUCAGAUUGAACGCUGGCGGCAUGCCUUACACAUGCAAGUCGAACGGCAGCACGGGUGCUUGCACCUGGUGGCGAGUGGCGAACGGGUGAGUAAUACAUCGGAACAUGUCCUGUAGUGGGGGAUAGCCCGGCGAAAGCCGGAUUAAUACCGCAUACGAUCUACGGAUGAAAGCGGGGGACCUUCGGGCCUCGCGCUAUAGGGUUGGCCGAUGGCUGAUUAGCUAGUUGGUGGGGUAAAGGCCUACCAAGGCGACGA